AUUCGUGUUUAAGGGAAAUUUCAGCGCAGGAGAGACAAUUUUUACCCGAGUCUCGUUCUACUGAACCUCAAGAUAAGAAAUUUUCUGAAUUAAAGUUAAUAACUGCAGGCUUUUAGAAGUCUCACGGUGGGCUCGACACGUCUCUGAAGAAAUCAUCACGUCAUUUCAUAGAUACCCUUUUCCAUCUUUUGAUCGACAAGAAAUUAUACCCACUGGAUAAUUUUGUUGACCUUAAAUCUCCAUCCAAAAUCCAGGCUUUUGCGACGAACGCUUCUUACGUUUCAUAUCAUGGGAAAAAAAAAAACAUUCUAUACGUUGAUAUCACAUUUUUGAUAAUUUGGAAUCAUCGCUCUAACUUUCGUAGCUCAUAUGAUUAAUGUUGAAAUGCCUAUUAUUCUAGGGUUGGUUGAAGCAGGAUUUUUCGAGCAGAAAUUAAAGCUCGCAAAAAGCAGUCAGAAAAAGAUUUAGGAUUCUUGAGGAUUGGAUCAUUGAAUGUGCGAGUGAAGAAAACAACUGAAGCAUUUAGCAAUUUUCUCGGUAAAAGCCAAAGCUCUGUAGAAAAAAUUCACAAAUCUUGGGGCUCAGCAGAUAAUAUUCAACAAGUAAGUAAGAAAAUUCAUAACUUUUAAUUAGGCGCCUGGCACCACUCGUUCUGCGGUAAUGUAUCAAAACUGCUAUUGUUCAGAGUGCGUAUGAAGUUUCAAGGGAACCGAUGGUUAUCUGCCAAACUGAAUGAACCAGUUUGGUUGAAAAUGAUCAGGUCAGGGGGAGGGGGAGCAAUAAAUUUUAUUUGCUUUAAUAUUUUUGCGUUAGGUAGCACAUGGUAUGUUCAUUGGAAAAACUGACUUUAUCUGCAACCAGCUAUC